UAUGAGUGGCGAGCGGGUGAGAUACACGUGGGCAAUGCUGCCUCAAGCUGGGGAUAACAUUUGGAAACAGAUGCUAAUACCGAAUAAAACUUAGUGUCGCAUGACACAAGAGUUAAAAGGCGCUUCGGCGUCACCUAGAGAUGGAUCCGCGGUGCAUUAGUUAGUUGGUGGGGUAAAGGCCUACCAAGACAAUGAUGCAUAGCCGAGUUGAGAGACUGAUCGGCCACAUUGGGACUGAGACACGGCCCAAACUCCUACGGGAGGCUGCAGUAGGGAAUCUUCCACAAUGGGCGAAAGCCUGAUGGAGCAACGCCGCGUGUGUGAUGAAGGCUUUCGGGUCGUAAAGCACUGUUGUAUGGGAAGAACAGCUAGAAUAGGAAAUGAUUUUAGUUUGACGGUACCAUACCAGAAAGGGACGGCUAAAUACGUGCCAGCAGCCGCGGUAAUACGUAUGUCCCGAGCGUUAUCCGGAUUUAUUGGGCGUAAAGCGAGCGCAGACGGUUUAUUAAGUCUGAUGUGAAAGCCCGGAGCUCAACUCCGGAAUGGCAUUGGAAACUGGUUAACUUGAGUGCAGUAGAGGUAAGUGGAACUCCAUGUGUAAGCGGUGGAAUGCGUAGAUAUAUGGAAGAACACCAGUGGCGAAGGCGGCUUACUGGACUGCAACUGACGUUGAGGCUCGAAAGUGUGGGUAGCAAACAGGAUUAGAUACCCUGGUAGUCCACACCGUAACGAUGAACACUAGGUGUUAGGAGGUUCCCGCCUCUUAGUGCCGAAGCUACGCAUUAGGUGUUCCGCCUGGGAGUUCGACCGCCAGGUUGAAACUUCAA
rnacentral:rRNA from 1 species